UACUCCCCCUCAGCCACCGCCUCCUCCUCCACCAGCACCACUCCCUCCGGGGCACCCCGGUCCCUGCAGAGUCCCUGGCCGGCGCCGCCUCCGCUGCGGCCCCCUGAAUCCCGAGCCUGCCUCGCCCAAGCUGGUAGGACAGAAGGACAGACAGAUUCCUCUAGCCUAGCGCUCCGCCGCUGCUGCCUUACGCGGCCCCGCGUCGGGAGAACUGGGAUCGCCCCAAGAGCACCGCGAGGGAACAGAACAAUAGUAUGCUCUCAAUAAAUAAGGAUGAACGCAUGAUUGAAAUAGUUUAAAAAUCAAGACCCGGAAAACUGAAGCUUAAAAAGGAAGAGAAGGACAUCAGAAAGUUGAUGGGUCAUCUCAGGCUGGCUGCAUGCCUCAGCUGAAGAUCCCAGCUCCUGUCAAUGCCACCUCUCUGCUUGACUGUCUCCUUCCAGAUUCGAGCAGGUAUGAGCUGGGAAGAAUGAAGGCAGGGCAUGCCCGUGUGCCAGCUCUGCACAGCUGGAUAGCUGAGGAAAGAUGUGGAGGAGAAGCCGGGGAUUGUGUGGAAGUCUAAGGGUGUUGUUUGCCCUUUGGGUUCCAGAAGAUGCAUGCCAGGACCCUGGGUGGCACUGCCAGGAAGCAACAGAGAGGAGAUAAAACUCACAGCAGACAGACUUGCCUUAACAACAACUCCCUUGAAUUAAAACACGCUUUUCAAGAAAACAAAUUAUCAGUUCGAUCAGCAAACAGCAGAGAAGUUUCUCUCAUAAUGGCAAAGAAGGGCCGGGUUGCUGACCAGUGAAAGAGCUUCAGAAAAGGAGAGGGGAGAUGAGAUGGCCAGAAGGAGCAAGAGCACCGUACAUCCCUGGACAACCUCAUUCUAAUGCUGAUUCCUUGAUUCCAGAUUUCUGACCUCCAGAAGCAUGGGAGAACAGAUUUCCCUUGUUUGAAGGCACCCAGUCUGUGGUCCUUCAUCAUGGCAGCCCUCAGGAAUGGAUACAGGCCCUUCCCUGCCUGCCUGGUGGAGCAGCCUCCAAGGGGAGCCUUUGCUAGCAGGAAGAGGCAUCGCAUGGAGCUCAGACCCGCCUCAGAGGAACUUCUCUCAGCCUCCUCUCUCCGCACACCCGACCAAUUUGUUUUUGGUUAUCCUGGAGGUUUUGUGGAUUAAGAUGUGUGAGAUGAGGGGUUUAUAGGGACUGGCUGGAGGUAUGCCCCCCCUUCCACCCACACACCCACACACACAUACACACGCACACGCUGUUGUGCAGAAGAUGUUUCUUGGGUGGCUGAGCAAAGAAUCAGGUAUUUGGAUGUCCUGAUUUGACCCUGAGAAAAAUAGCAGCCAUCCACAGAGCUCUGAAACAUACUUCCCACUGCUUGGAAUGGCAGCUCCUCCUCAGGAUACAAGCAAGGAAACGUGUGGCAUCUGGCUACCAUGAGCUGAAGACAAAGCCUACAUGGGGAAAAGUGCAAAACCAGGAGAAUGGGAGAGAAAUGGAGCCACGCACUGAUGCUGUUGUGAAACAUCUCAAUCAAACUGCACCUGAAGACCGCCCUAUCCCUGCAUUUUUCAUUUACAUGAGCCAAUAAACUCUCUCAUUUAAGUCA
rnacentral:lncRNA from 1 species